UGUGAUCUACUUGUUUGUUAUAUGAUUUGUCUCUGAACGGCUCUUUCUUGUUAAGUGUGCAUGGUUUAUUAUUAGAGAGUUCUGUUGUUCAUGACAGUUGAUUGCCAUGGAGCUUUACAUGAUCAGCCCUUGUUUCUUGUGCAUUCACUGAGGAUGUUGUACAUCUUUCAGUAAGGGAAUCUACAGAAAUGGUUUGCACGCCUAAGCAAACAAAAAUAAAAUAAAAAACGAAGCUUCAAACAAUGUUUUAAAUAUAACUGGAAAUCUUUCAGAAUGCUUAGGUGCUUACUUGCUUCAGCUAAUCUUUAAGGACAAUCAUGAGAUGUUUAAAAUUUUCGGCCACCUAUCUGUUUAUUCACAUGCUUCCAGUGAUUGUAAAUUGGUAAUUGCUUAUGCUCUGUCCAUACUCCGUCCUAUGCAUACGGAAGUCAAGAGUCAGAUUGUAAUGCGUAACUUCUAGUUCCUGUUUCUAGUUCAAUGUUUUCUUUUUAUCUCAUCCCCUAAAUAUAAUUUUGCCAACCGUAAAAGAUUAAUUGGUUUUUGCGGCUUCAAAAAUAUAAUAGACAUGCAUAUUUUUUAAUCCUUUGUAAUACCUUCAAAAUGGUUAAAUAACAUGUUUUUUAUAGUAGUGCAACAUUAUGACUGAUACACAUAGCAGCAUGGCAAUAGAAAACUCAUAGAAAAAGUAUUUUGGAUAAAAGAAUACUAAUAUGCUGUUGUACAUGGUAGAAUGUAUAAGUCUUGUAAAAAAGUUCUGCCUACAUAAAGUUUAUAUGAAUAUGCUGUUUCUUAUGAGGUUUGUUUACCGUUGGACCAUGGUAGUGUAUUCAGGUUGAUUUUCAGGUCCGUGACAUGAUCAUGCUAAUUGUUUGGAUAUACGUUUAAAAGAAUAGGCUGAUCCUUGGUGUAGUCUUUAUAGGCAGAUGCUGAUACUUGGUAACAGUCUUGAACCUAACAGAUUGGAGCUAAGGUAGCAGUAUUCUGAUCCGUGACAUCAGUAUCAUGCAUGGAGGUUUGUACUAGAAAACUUAGCUUCUGACAGAUUUGUAUCCACUGGUUACAAAAUCUUGCUGAAGCUAAUACUUUAUGUCCAAAAGAAACUUCAUUAUGGUCGAAUAUAUGUACAUGUAGACCCUUGAACAAAAUUCAGUCCCCAGAUGCGAUUUUUUCGAAUUAUCUCUUGCAGGAAUGCUGAAAAGCUCAUUCACUCAGUAGAAGAUAGCUGAUAUUGCUGAUAAAGCAUAUUGGUCUCAUCGUGGAUUAUUGUUCCCUGAGGCUAGAACCGAUUCUUCUCUACCGGUAAAGCUGCUUUUGGAGACAAAGCCAACAGAAGUUGAUUCACUAGUGAAGUUGAGCUGUCCGAGGCAGGCCCAUACCGUAACAUUCCUGGCUGCAGCGAAUGGGGUCAUGACCGUACCAGCGGCGACCUGGAUUCCGGCAAGGAAGAUCGAAGAUCGCGGCCACCUCACUCUCUAGUCUCCGGGUUUGUUCCAAGGCGGCAUCCCCAAGCAGCUCCUGGAGGGUGAAUGAGAGGGGAGGGAGAGGUGCAGGCGAUUGGUGUGGGGUCAGGUUCAGGCCUUGCCAUGAAGAUUCAGAUUCAUCGAGUGCGCUGCCGUCGCAAGCAGGUUAAUCGAGAACCUGCACAGCGCGACGGAGAUUAGGAGCAUCCAGGACGGCGAGAAGAGGUACUAGGACACAGUUGUGGGACGAUGUGCCUAUGCCGCCAGUUAUGUGUGGAUGUUAGGGCCCAGAAGCAGCCGGCCCAGGCCCAAGAGCAGCAGCCGGUGCAACAGCCCACGGCCCCGGCGUGGAUCACGUACCAACGCCAGGGGCGCCGCACAAGUGGCUAGAAGAGCCAGGGUGACUUAUUUCAUUUAGGCCUUAUUUACUUUGCUAAAGUGUGGGAUAAUUUGUAAGUUAAAUAAUCUCCACUAGAUGAAAAAAAUAUUAGGCUGAGUAUCAAUCUCGGCUUGGCCUCAAGGGGCCGCCCCUAAA